CCUCCCGCUUUAUUGAUAUCUUACAGGUUUUCAGUUCCUGUCGGAUGAGCAAAGCUGAAUUGAGGUGCCCUAAGGAACAGGAGUGCAAGGGCUGAGGCAGAUGAUUUCAUUGUGGCUCGUGGUGGAUUCUCUUGAGGCAAAGAAAGGAAAACUGCUUGUCGAUGAUCAAUUUUCAGCAGGUGUUGGAAUUGAUAAUAGGCUGAGAAGCUAAUAAGAUAAAAUCCAGAUUCAAAGGGGUUUAUAUAGACUAAAUUGGGGCUUUCGUUAAGCGGUCCGGGUUGGUGUUCUAAAGUCUAUACAUCCUGUCAUGGCUUCUGUGGCCCAGCUCUAGCCUUCGUUGUAGUAAUUUAAAUGUAAAAUGAUGGUUUACCUUGUACCUAGUUAUUAUGGUGAUGUAGUAUUAAUUGGCUACAACCCACGCAUCGGCUAUCCUUGAGUCGGGCGCAGCCAUAAAUGCUUGAACCUAUGCUGAGGGAGGGUCAAGAUGCGCUGUAGUCACCUGAGAUGGUAUCAUUGAUGGAGAUGUUGAUGAUGCAACCAUCAAAGUUCUGACGGUCUGUCCCUGCAUACGCCCCGUCCAAAUAGACUCCGACACUCCCGCUUGUAUCAUUCAGUCUGGCAGACAAAGGACAUGGAAAAAGUGGAGGAAAUUACACCAUUGCCGUUCGAUGUCGAGGCUUUCUGAUAGGGUUACACUCUCACCGGGCGAGACAAGGGGCACAACUUGUACGUGAUUCAACAUUAUGCUUAUCAUAUGUUGUGUCAUUUUGACCCGAAGCUUAGAGUGGAUAACAUCUCUGCUAAUUUCGAGCCCUUGUUACGACU
rnacentral:rRNA from 1 species